CCAUCUUAUCUCCACUCUCAAAUCUUCUUCACCCAAAAACCCCUAGAAAGUUAGAAACCUUAUCUCUUCUCUUCCCAUGGCUGCUUCAGCUUCGUCUCUCGCUCUCUCUUCCUUCAACCCUAAAUCUCUUCCUUUCUGCGUCUCCAGACCAGCCUCCGUUUCCCUCUUACCUCCUUCCCUCUCCUUUAAACUCAAUUCCGACUCCGUUUCCUUCUCCAUCGCCGCCAAAUGGAACUCUCCCGCUUCUCGCUUCGUCCGUAACGUUGCAAUUACCUCAGAGUUCGAGGUGGAAGAAGACGGUUUCGCGGAUGACGCGGCGCCACAACAGCAAUCUUUCUCUGCUGACCUCAAACUCUUCGUUGGCAACCUUCCCUUUAAUGUCGACAGUGCUCAGCUCGCUCAGCUCUUCGAGAGCGCUGGAAAUGUUGAGAUGGUUGAGGUAAUCUAUGACAAAGUGACAGGAAGAAGCAGAGGUUUUGGAUUCGUGACUAUGUCUUCAGUUUCUGAAGUUGAGGCAGCUGCUAAUCAGUUCAAUGGCUAUGAGUUGGAUGGUAGACCUUUGAGAGUUAAUGCUGGUCCUCCUCCACCAAAGAGGGAAGAUGGUUUCUCCAGGGGACCUAGAAGCAGCUUUGGAAGCUCAGGUUCUGGAUAUGGAGGAGGUGGUGGUUCUGGUGCUGGUUCAGGAAACCGAGUUUAUGUUGGCAACCUUUCUUGGGGAGUUGAUGACAUGGCUCUUGAGAGUUUGUUCGCGGAACAAGGAAAGGUUGUUGAGGCUAGAGUCAUCUACGACAGGGACAGUGGUCGAUCCAAGGGUUUUGGGUUUGUGACAUACAACUCUUCCCAAGAGGUCCAAAAUGCCAUCAAUUCCUUGAAUGGUGCUGAUUUGGACGGCAGACAAAUUAGAGUCUCGGAAGCUGAGGCUAGGCCUCCAAGGCGCCAAUUUUGAGCACCAAUCUAUGACUUCCUAUUCUCAAAAACGCAUAUUCUGGAGGGUAUGCGCUUCGAAGCAAAGAGGGUUUGUGAGAUGAUGGCAGUUUCGGACGGUACUAAGCUCUUAGCUUCGCCUAUGUUUGUUGCCUUUGGAUGUACGAAGGUCGUAAAGGAAUGGUCUUUUUUUUUUUGAGAAACGUAUAAUUAAGAUAAAAGUAGAGAAGACCAUGUUCUUGUCUGUCUGAAUGCUGCCAUUGACUGCUUCGCUUUGGUUUGAUUCAAUUUUUUUUCUCUCUA